UGUGGGACGGUUGGCGCUGUAACCCGAGAUCACCACGCCAACUUUGUUGCUGCUAUCAAUUGGAGACUCGACUUCGUCGCAGAUGUUGAAGCGGCAGAAGCUCACACCGUCCGUGUUGGCCUGGAGUUUGCUCUCCUUGCUGGGUGUUCUAGAAUCAGCAUCAGCUCGGACUCCUCCGCCGUUGUUGACGCACUCUCGGCUGGCCACCAACCCUAUGGCGCUGCUGCUGCCAUAUAUGAAGACUGCUUCUCCCUCCUAGACGACCUUUUGCAGUUUCACAUUGGCCACUGCCUCCGCGACUCAAACAAAGUUGCCCAUGAACUGGCUCGCGUAGCUAAGUAUCAACUCUAUAAUUCUUGGUAUGAUUCCCCCUGCUUGCAUUGUAUCUUUCAACCUUUAUUACCAAUCAAUAGAGAGAUAUUUUGCUGUCAAAAAAAGCGCUCGCUGCCGAAAGGGAAUCCCCUUUCCUUCGAUCUUCUACAGACCCGUGCGACCACAGGCAAACCUCGGGCAUGGGCGCACGGGACAUGGCGUUGACGCCCAGGCUGCCGCCGCUCUCCCGUCGCUGUUUGGCGAGCGAAGGCGCCGCUGACAUCCGGUCAUCUUCCACUGCCGACUCCCUUCCAAGCAGCUCCCGUGAGAUUUCUUUCCCGUCUACCAAAUUGAUGCUGCUCGAGAUUCAGUGCGGGCACCGGCGACAUCCGGCCUGCUGGAUCGGGAUUGAGGCUGAGAUUGUGCUGCACAUAUGGAGGCGCCCAGCGGCUGUCAAGGUUAGGGAAGCGGACACGACGGCCGGCUGCACGGGGAGGCGCAGAGGAGCGCCGGUGAAGGGGGCCUGGAGGCUAGGCGGUGGCAGCCGGUGAGUCCAGUUGGCAGCCAUACGUGAGGAAGAGGGAUGGGGAUGGGAUCCACGGGAUGAGUGUAACGUGAGAAAAUAUGCAAUUCAAUACUGGGACCAUCCAAACAAGAGGCAGAAUUGGUUUGCUCCACUGAUAUCCCAACUAGUAGGUCCGAGCUGGAGCCGGAGCCGGAGAUAUAUGUGGCUCCUGUUGGUAGUUCGGUACCUUGUCUUUUUCCGGCCGGUCGGAUAUAUAUUUGUAUUUGUAUGGACCGAAUUUUCGACCGAACACCCAAAAAUGAGUUCGCUGUUCCCGUUUACAUCUGCUAGAAAUGCUAUUAGCUUUAGUGCUCUAUUUAUUGGUUAGAGCAUCACUAGCAGGUUUCAUAAAAUUGGUUCCCUAAAACCAGUUUUUGGAUAGGAGAGAGAAAAGAUUUUGAAAAAAAUUGUCUCCAUCUCCAGCAGGUUCCCCCCGCCCGACGCCGUUCCAGCCGCCCGACGCCGACGGCUUCCCUGCUCGGCCGCCGACGCCCCGUCCCCCAGCGUGCCGGCCGUCCUCCCAUACGCCGCUGCUACCUCGACCGCCCCAUGCGCCGCCGCUCCCUCGACCGCCCCUGCCCCCGCGCACAACCACUGGCCGCUGGCGCUUCCUCUGUGCGCUGCCCCUCCCUUCGCGGACCCGCGCUGCUCCCGGCUCUGUGAGUCGCCGGUCCAUCCGCAGGCCGAAGCCGCAAGCCAUCCCCUUCGCGCGUUGCCACGGGCUGGCAAAUCAAAGCUCCAUUGCCGGCAAAUCGAAGCCCACGCGGGGAGGACGCUGGGGAAUGAGACCAGGAGCUCGAGGAAGAGCUGUGGAAGGCACACCUAAGCUCGUAGAUGGCCGCGGCGGCCGAAUCGCCGGCGGCAGGCGGCGUCGGGGGCGCGAUAGGCGGCCGCUCCGGCCCGAUUCAGUGGGGGUCUGUGCUCGGGGAGGAUACCGGAGGCCCGGGUAGGCGGUACAGGCAGGCGGACAUGGCCGACGGCGGAGAUCGACGGUGACGCGGCGAGGUAAUAGCAGCGGGUCGGCGCAGAAUCGGGAUGAAACCGACGGUUUCUUUCCCGCAAGCUCAUUUCUGUGUUUAGGGAAUGAGUGGCUGGUUUCCUACACUAAAUGCCUGUAACUCGUUGCGGAAACUUUUAAUUAACAUAAAAAAUUCUCAAAUUUAAAAACAUAUA